GACAAACGCUGGCAGCGUGCUUAACACAUGCAAGUCGAACGGAAAGGCCCUGCUUUUAUAGGAUGCUCGAGUGGCGAACGGGUGAGUAACACGUGAGUAACCUGCCCUUGACUUUGGGAUAACUUCAGGAAACUGGGGCUAAUACCGGAUAGGAUCUCCGCCUUCCUGGUGGGGGUUGGAAAGUUUCAGCGGUUGGGGAUGGACUCGCGGCUUUUCACCUUGUGGUGGGGGAAGUGGCUUCCCAGGGGUUUGACGGUUACCGGGCCUGAGAGGGUGACCGGCGACAUUGGGACUGAGAUACGGCCCAGACUCCUACGGGAGGCAGAAGUGGGGAAUAUUGCACAAUGGGGGGAAGCCUGAUGCAGAAACGCCGCGUGCGGGAUGACGGCCUUCGGGUUGUAAACCGCAUUCGCAGGUGACGAAGCGUGAGUGACGGUAAUGGGUAAAGAAGCACCGGCUAACUACGUG
rnacentral:rRNA from 1 species